rnacentral:misc_RNA from 1 species
GUGAAUCAUCGAAUUUUUGAACGCAAAUUGCACUCUCCUCGGAGAGUAUGCCUGUUUGAGGGUCAGCCUAUAAAAAAUCGACAUCGUUGCUGUUUCGCGGUGGCGUUCGUCGGAAAUUGGGUCAUCUUAAAUCUUUUGGUUUUAAUCGACUUAAAAUUUUCUUUUUGGUUCCAUGAACGUUUCUAAGAUUUAUUUCUUUACACGUUUACGGUAUCGAUUUUUAUUAGACUUUACCAUCAUGUCGGAUCUCGCCCAUAACCUUUCAUUAACUGACCCCCCACAGGUAAGAGUUCCCGCUGAA